UAGGGAAUCUUCGGCAAUGGUCGGAAGUCUGACCGAGCAACGCCGCGUGAGUGAAGAAGGUUUUCGGAUCGUAAAGCUCUGUUGUUAGAGAAGAACGUUGGCAGGAGUGGAAAAUCUACCAAGUGACGGUAACUAACCAGCAAGGGACGGCUAACUUCGUGCCAGCAGCCGCGGUAAUACGUAUGUCUCGAGCGUUGUCCGGAUUUAUUGGGCGUAAAGCGAGCGCAGGCGGUUCUUUAAGUCUGAAGUUAAAGGCAGUGGCUUAACCAUUGUACGCUUUGGAAACUGGGGGAAUUGAGUGCAGAAGGGGAGAGUGGAAUUCCAUGUGUAGCGGUGAAAUGCGUAGAUAUAUGGAGGAACACCGGUGGCGAAAGCGGCUCUCUGGUCUGUAACUGACGCUGAGGCUCGAAAGCGUGGGGAGCAAACAGG
rnacentral:rRNA from 1 species